AAGUCGUAACAAGGUUUCCGUAGAUCAUUAACACGUAUCCAACGUUAAACCCCCCUGUGAACCUUCAGUGUGCUCGUACACCCUAUUUUAAGCCCCUUAAAUAUUCACCCCUUUGCAUGAAAACGGGCCUGCACUUAAUUGUGCGGCCACCAAACUCGAACAACUGUUAACAAUGGAUAUCUUGGUUCUC
rnacentral:misc_RNA from 1 species